rnacentral:rRNA from 1 species
AUUGAACGCUGGCGGCAUGCUUUACACAUGCAAGUCGAACGGUAACAGGGUGCUUGCACCGCUGACGAGUGGCGAACGGGUGAGUAAUGCGUCGGAACGUGCCGAGUAGUGGGGGAUAACGCAGCGAAAGUUGUGCUAAUACCGCAUACGUACUGAGGUAGAAAGUGGGGGACAUUCGGGCCUCACGCUAUUCGAGCGGCCGACGUCUGAUUAGCUAGUAGGUGAGGUGAAGGCUCACCUAGGCGACGAUCAGUAGCGGGUCGGAGAGGAUGAUCCGCAACACUGGGAAUGAGACACGGCCCAGACUCCUACGGGAGGCAGCAGUGGGGAAUUUUGGACAAUGGGCGAAAGCCUGGUCCAGCCAUGCCGCGUGUCUGAAGAAGGCCUUCGGGUUGUAAAGGACUUUUGUCAGGGAGGAAAUCCCUAGUGCUAAUAACACUGGGGGAUGACAGUACCUGAAGAAUAAGCACCGGCUAACUACGUGCCAGCAGCAGCCGCCG